CGCCCCCCUGCUCGCGAGGAAACAGCUGGAGAUCCGUGUUUUUGCUCCGGCUCGGAUCCCCGGACCCCCGCAGUAACCCUGGCCGCGCCCGCCGCCCCGCGCGCCCCGCUGCGGGAGGGCAUGGUGCGCUGUAUCGUGCCCGGCUGCAGCAGCUCCUGCGUGUCCGCGCGCUUCCACUGCUUCCCGCUGUACGACCGCGCGCUGUGUCGCAGUUGGCUGCGCGCGGUGCGGAGCCCGCGGUUCGGCGCGGACACGGAGCCGAGGGCGGUGGGCCAGCAGCGGCUGAAGGUCUGCAGCGAGCACUUCACCGCGGCGGAUUACAGCGGCAGCUACCUGAAGCAGGACGCCGUGCCCAGCGUCUUCCCCUGGACCGGGAUCCGGGCGGAGAUGCUCAGCCAGCCGGCGGAGGAGCAGCAGGAGCGGGAGGAGAGGGAGGAGGAGGAAACGUCUGACAAAGAAGAAAGUACAGGCCCGGUCCCUACCUGCUCUCAAAUAAAGGAGGAUCCAGCUCAGCAUGAAGUCAAGAUUCCUGAACCUACAGAAGACAUCAGCUUCUUUAAAAGUAGUGAGGUGCUGGUGAACACCCGCUGUUUGCUGGAGCUCUUUAAGUGCUGCUCGGUCUGUAUGGUGGAGUGCUGCGUCACCGUUGAGGGCACUGCCAAGCUGUUCGCGGUUAUCCAGGACUGCGAGAGCUGUGGGCACCACAGAGAGUGGAGGAGUCACCCCACCCCGACUGAAGAACCUGCGGAGACUUUCAGUACAGAACACACUACACACGAAGACCACGAGAAGCACUUUCCUGAAGAACACAUAGACCACAAAGAGGCCUUAGAUUUGUAUACUGCCUCGUUCCCAUUGGUAGAACUCGCACCAGGGCUUGAGGAGGAGGAGGAUAUCAAGACUGUGUUGGUGGUCCCUCAGCCGACUCGCCAGAGGACUAAAGAGGUGUCGAUGGAUAGAAAACGAACCAUAGUGACCCUGAGGAACGAGAAGAAGUCAAUCAGAGAAAUCGGUAAAAUAUUAGGCGUGUCCAAAUCAACUGUAGCUUAUGUUCUGAGGAAGAACGCAAGCACUGGGGACAUAAGUAAUAGGAAACGCACUGGAAGACCGAAAAAGACGACUGACGCGGACGACCAAAUAAUCCUUUCUAUAAUGAUGAAAAAUCCGCAAACGCCUAUCCAGCAGAUCCGGGACACUCUCAAGGAGGUAGGCAGGGAAGUGUCGAUGACGACCAUCCGCAGAAAACUGCAAAUGCUCAACCACAAGAUUGAAAGUGCAUUUUUAAAGAACGUUCAGAUGGCGGAGAAGCUUGCAUCUUCUUCACCAAAUUAGACAUAAUUAGAGUCAUAAUUACGGCUCUGUUAUAUGGUUACAUUGAAGAAAAUCCUUGUGUCUUUUGCCAACAAACGUCUCAACAAAUGUGCAUCAAAUGCAUGGGACGAGGUUUUGUCAGACAAAGGAUUCAAAUAACUGAAGUAAAAGAAAUGGAAGAUGUUCAUCAACAAGUUACAAAGGAUGAUGAAGCAUCCUGUAUUAGUUUCUAGCUGAUGAAGCUCACAGUAAUUAUUUAAUGUGUUUUAGAGGACAGUAGUUCAUAUGUUUUAAUGUUACGAGGCCUUUUUGGACAUUUUGGAAAUGUUUGGGGAAAGUUACACAUGCUGAAAAUGACAGAAACCCAAUGGAAAAAAGAAAUGAUGGACAGCAAAGAUUAUUUAUUUCACUCCUAAUGAAGUCCUACUGAAGUGAAGCUUGAACUUGACACUACUGAAGUUAGUGUUGCAUUUUGGAUGGUUGCUGGUGUGGAGAAAUAUGAGGUCAUUGGAGGACAAUGACCGGUUCUCUAGCGGUACUGGAGAUUCAUAAGCUAAAUAGGUAUAUAGGUAGUUAUGUACACAUGUACACACACACACACACACACACACACACACACUUUACUUAAGGACACUCAACCUCAAACUGUGGACGUCUUGUGUAUCUUUCCAGCUCACACCCUAAUCAAUAUAAUAGUUGCACAAAAUAAAAGGUUAAAAAGAAACA
rnacentral:lncRNA from 1 species